UACAGGGGGUGCAAGCGUUAAUCGGAAUUACUGGGCGUAAAGGGUGCGUAGGUGGUUAUAUAAGUUGGGUGUGAAAGUCCUGGGCUUAACCUGGGGAUUGCGCUCAAUACUGUAUAGCUAGAGUACUGUAGAGGAAGGUGGAAUUUCCAGUGUAGCGGUGAAAUGCGUAGAUAUUGGAAGGAACAUCAGUGGCGAAGGCGACUUUCUGGACAGAUACUGACACUGAGGCACGAAAGCGUGGGGAGCAAACAGG
rnacentral:rRNA from 1 species